GACGAACGCUGGCGGCGUGCUUAACACAUGCAAGUCGAACGGAAAGGCCCUGCUUUUGUGGGGUGCUCGAGUGGCGAACGGGUGAGUAACACGUGAGUAACCUGCCCUUGACUUUGGGAUAACUUCAGGAAACUGGGGCUAAUACCGGAUAGGAGCUCCUGCUGCAUGGUGGGGGUUGGAAAGUUUCGGCGGUUGGGGAUGGACUCGCGGCUUAUCAGCUUGUUGGUGGGGUAGUGGCUUACCAAGGCUUUGACGGGUAGCCGGCCUGAGAGGGUGACCGGCCACAUUGGGACUGAGAUACGGCCCAGACUCCUACGGGGGGGAGCAGUGGGGAAUAUUGCAAAAUGGGCGGAAGCCUGAUGCAGCAACGCCGGGUGCGGGAUGAAGGCCUUCGGGUUGGAAACCGCUUUCGCCUGUGACGAAGCGUGAGUGACGGUAAUGGGUAAAGAAGCACCGGCUAACUACGUG
rnacentral:rRNA from 1 species